UUCGAUUAAGCCAUGCGAGUCGCGAGUCUUAGGGACUCGGCGUACCGCUCAGUAACACGUGGGUAACCUGCCCUAUGCUGGGGAAUAACCUCGGGAAACUGAGAAUAAUGCCCCAUAGUUCACCACGCCUGGAACGGUGGGUGGAUCAAAGCUCCGGCGGCAUAGGAUGGGCCUGCGGCGUAUCAGGUCGUAGGGGGUGUAAUGUACCCUCUAGCCAUCGACGCGUACGGGUGUUGGGAGACAUUGCCCGGAGAUGGAUUCUGAGACACGAAUCCAGACCCUACGGGGUGCAGCAGGCGCGAAAACUUGGCAAUGCGAGAAAUCGUGACCAGGGAACUCCAAGUGCAUCGGGUAAGACCGAUGCUUUUCUUGACUCUUCAACGGUCUUGGAAUAAGGGGUGGGUGAGGACGGUGCCAGCCGCCGCGGUAAUACCGGCGCCUCAAGUGGUAGUCGCUUUUAUUGGGCCUAAAACGUCCGUAGCCGGUUUGGUACAUUCGUGGGUAAAUCAAGGCGCUCAACGUCUUGAAUUCUGCGAGCACGGCCAGACUUGGGACCGGGUGAGGUGUGGGGUACUCUCAGGGUAGGGGUAAAAUCCUGUCAUCCUGAGAGGACCACCUGUUGCGAAGGCGCCACACUAGAACGGAUCCGACGGUCAGGGACGAAGCCUAGGGGCACGAACCGGAUUAGAUACCCGGGUAGUCCUAGGUGUAAACGCUGUGGACUUGAUGUUGGGAGUGCUCCGAGCACCCUCAGUGUCGAAGCGAAGGUGAUAAGUCCACUGCCUGGGGAGUACGGUCGCAAGGCUGAAACUAAAAGGAAUUGGCGGGGGAGCACUGCAACCUGAGGAUUGUGCG
rnacentral:rRNA from 1 species